AAUCUGUGACCUUCAGAAUUGAGAUUAUUGAAUUGUGUUGUAUUAAGUGAAGAUAUUGAAUUCUGUGUGAUGAAUUGAGAAACUAAAUAUAAUAAAUAAGCUAGAGAUCAAUAAUUGAAUAUAUAUAAACCACAAAGAAAGUAAAUAGGAGAUGAACUGAUAAGAAUAUGGAAGUAUUGUUGAAUUGAUAGUCGUAGAAUAGAUUAUAAGUUGAAUUAAGAUAGAAGUAAUAAGCCUUGGUAUUUUAUAGUUUGAUAAUUGAUUUUAGAUAGCUAGAGUAUAGUCAAUUGUGACACUAAUAGAUCGAAUUCAUAU
rnacentral:lncRNA from 1 species